rnacentral:tRNA from 1 species
GCUCCAGAGCUUAGUCAGGUAGAGCAAUCUGUUCGACAGAUGUGUCGUUGGUUCGAAUCCAACCUCGUCCA